UACGGAGGGUGCAAGCGUUGUUCGGAAUCACUGGGCGUAAAGGGCGUGUAGGCGGCCUGUUAAGUCUGAUGUGAAAUCCCCUCGCUCAACGAGGGAACUGCGUCGGAAACUGGCAGGCUCGAGUACCGGAGAGGAAGGUGGAAUUCCCGGUGUAGCGGUGAAAUGCGUAGAUAUCUGCAGGAACACCCGUGGCGAAAGCGGCGCGCUGGACCACUACUGACGCUGAGGAACGAAAGCUAGGGGAGCAAACAGG
rnacentral:rRNA from 1 species